AUGAUUCUGCUGGGUCUUCUCCUGUGCCUGCUGAUAACCCCCCAUGGUGUUCUGUCCCAGGUGCAGCUUCAGGAGUCAGGCCCAGGACUGGUGAAGCCCUCACAGACCCUCUCCCUCACCUGCACUGUCUCUGGAUUCUCCAUCACCAGUGUCAGCUGCUGGAACUGGAUCCGCCAGCCCCCAGAGAAGGGGCUGGAAUGGAUCGGGCGUAUAUGUUAUAAUGGGGAUAUUUACUAUAGCCUUAACCUCAAGAACCGCGCCUCCAUCACCAGAGACACAUCCAAGAACCAGUUCUCCCUGCAGUUGAGCUCCGUGGCCAUGGAAGACACAGCUGUAUAUUAUUGUGCAAGAGACACAGUGAGAGGAAGUCAGGGUGAGCUCAGACACAAACCCUGUGGGGAAGAGGAGGGCUGGGUUGCAGGGGGUGCUCAGUACAACUAG